UUUAGCUUUCUUUUUUCGGCGAGAUAUGCAUUGAGAUUUAGGGCUUCAAUUAGCUUUAAUUGUAGUCCGAUUCAAAUUUGAUGAUGACGAUGGUAAAACUUGCAAUUUUUAUUAGACGGAAAAGAAAAAGAUUUUGCUUACAAGGCCUCAAGAACUCUCUGAUUUCUUCUAAAUUUGAUUUUUUUCAUGGAAAUGAAAAGGAGAUCAUAAUUGAAGAAGAACUCCAAUGUCCACCUUCGCUACCAUGAGUGAUCUGCAUCUAAUUGUAUUUUCUUUCUUGCUCAUCUACAUGGUGGAAAUACCAAUGAGAAAAAAGGGUUUCAAAUAUUGUAAAUGAGUCUUUAUUAGGUGCUUCGUCUUGUUCAUGUAAAGAUUUGAUCUUUUUUUCUGGUCCCUUUCUUCUCUGUAAU
rnacentral:lncRNA from 1 species